rnacentral:rRNA from 1 species
GACGAACGCUGGCGGCGUGCUUAACACAUGCAAGUCGAGCGGAGCGGCGAACGGGUGAGUAACGCGUGAGUAACUGCCCCCCUCUCUGGGAUCACAGUUGGAAACGGCUGCUAAUACCGGAUAGUGGGGGCGGACUCGCGUCCUAUCAGCUUGUUGGUGGGGGAUUGGCCUACCAAGGCGACGACGGGUAGCAGCCCUUCACGAGCGACCAGCCACAUUGGGCUGAGAUACGGCCCAGAAUCCUACGGGGGGCAGCGGUGGGGAAUAUUGCACAAUGAGGGAAACCCUGAUGCAGAAACGCCGCGUGCGGGAUGACGGCCUUCGGGUUGUAAACCGCUUUCAGCCAUGACGCGGUAGUGGAAGAAGAAGCACCGGCUAACUACGUGCCAGCAGCCGCGGUAAUAG